rnacentral:rRNA from 1 species
UACGGGGGGGGCAAGCGUUGUUCGGAAUUACUGGGCGUAAAGGGCUCGUAGGCGGCCAACUAAGUCGGAUGUGAAAUCCCCAGGCUCAACCUGGGAACUGCAUCCGAUACUGGAUGGCUUGAAUUCGGGAGAGGGAUGCAGAAUUCCAGGUGUAGCGGUGAAAUGCGUAGAUAUCGGGAGGAACACCGGUGGCGAAGGCGGUUCUCUGGGCCUUACCUGACGCUGAGGAGCGAAAGCGUGGGGAGCGAACAGG